UGGGCGCGUAGCUCAGCUGGUUAGAGCGCACGCCUGAUAAGCGUGAGGUCGGUGGUUCGAUUCCACUCGUGCCCAU
rnacentral:tRNA from 1 species